GUCCCCGGCGUCCGGGCGCCCUGCAUGGAUCCCCCACCCCAGCUCCUGCUCCCCGGCGGCGGCCGGUGGGCAGAAAGACCGAAACCCACUCACGGCCGCCUGCCGAAUCGCGGCUCUGCUGUUUGUGGGGCGUGCUAGAAACGUGGUCCUAAAAAGAAUGGCGUCCAUUUACAUAAUGCUUUGUUUGCGUUUCGCAAGUUUCUUUCGGUUAAAGCCACAGAAACCCCACCUCCUGCCCUUGUGUCGUUUCCACCGCGGCACCCUUUUCCGACAUUAGAAACAAUAGUGUACGCCUGUGGAGGCCUCGUUUGUUCAGGGGCUGCCGGCCAGGGCUUCAGGACGUUUCUGCGGCUUUCCCCGCGCGGCCUGGGCUCCCGCGGCUGCUUUUCGGGCCCAUGGGCGCAGCCACUGCGCCAGGCUCAAGGGGGGCGGCCCCGUCAGGGCCCGCCAUCUUGGAAGGCCUUUUUUGCCGGUUCUUCCCGCUGAGGAAGUGUCGCUCAAGACGCUGGCCUAUGAGUUGUGAUUUCUGCCUUUUCCCCUUCCUCCUUGGGCUAAGCCAGACCAGAAAGGGCCCCGUGCGCAACGUGCUUCACAAUCUCUCAGGGAAAGCGGCUAACGUGGCGCUACUCCGCCUCCCCUGUUCCUUACCCUUGGGGCGGCCGCCAUGUUUCCUGAACACAAAAUGGCGACACGUGGUUAGCAUUCGUCGCCAACGAGAAAUUGGGGUCGGCCCGAAAGCUCUAGAAUGCACCCCUCUUCCUCCCCGGGGCCUUCCACCUCCGCGAGUUUUAUGACUUAAAAAAGCCCACAGGCUGGUCUGAAGGUCGGAGGCCUAAUUUUAACGCGUUUUCCUCCCUUUAAUUUGAAACGGGAACGCGAAUGACUGUAAAAUGUGGGCACAAUAUUUAAUCUCUCGCCUUUUUAAAGCUUAAUAGUGGAUAAUAGGGGGGCAGUAUCAAGGGAUAAUUUGGGUCCCCACAGUACCAAAGCAUUUAGAAACCUCUGUUUAAUUUAAGGAAUGAGAUAAGUUACUGCUUUUCUAGACUUCCUAGCAUGGGCUGUUGUGCUGGAGAGAACGAGAGCUACGAAGAGACUACAGUGCCUCUGACUUUUUCAUAGGACAGUUGGCCGAGGAAGACAAACAUAAAGAUGAAGUGCUUAAUUCAAGGUCACACAAUGUCGGGGAUGGACCUCCAGAUUUCCUUACUGACCUGCAUUAUCUUGUGGAUACCUGAGUGAAUUCCACACCACCCAUUUUAUAGAUGAAACCACUGAGACAUGGAGCAAUUGACUGAGUAGUCACUGCCCCACCCCUGCCUGGAGCCUCACACAUGACUCGCCUCCUCUCAGUGACCACAGGAAAACAAGCUCAGGGCUCCCACUGAUUGUACAUUAUGAGACGGAGUCUUGCUAUGUUGCCCAGGCUGGUCUUGAACUCCUCACCUCAAGCGAUCCUCCCGUCUUGGCCUCCCAAGUGUCAGGAUUACGGGCAUGUGCUAUCACACCCAACCUGAUACAUUGCCUUUAUAAAUUUUUUUUUCUUUAUUCUAAAAACCAGAAAAAACAAAACUGGAUACAUGUGCAGAACAUGCAGACCAAGUGUGUUGGGGACUUGAGAUGCGUACAUGAGUGUGAUGUUUCCUGCUGAAAGCACAGGUGAGACGUGGUCUUGUAACACAGUGGUUAAGAAUGUGACUUUGGAGCCAGCCUGCUAGGGGCUGAAUUCUGACUCAGCCAUUUACUAACUGUGUGACCUUAGGCUGGAGUGCAAUGGCAUGAUCUCGGCUCAUCACAACCUCUGCUUCCUGGGUUCAAGCGAUUCUCCUGCCUCAGCCUCCCGAGUACCUGGGACUACAGGCACUCGCCACCAUGCCCGGCUGAUUUUUGUAUUUUUAAUAGAGAUGGUUUCACUAUGUUGGCCAGGCUGGUCUCGAACUCCUGACCUUGUGAUCUGCCCACCUCAGCCUCGAAAAGUGCUGGGAUUACAGGCGUGAGCCACUGCGCCCAGCCUUGUAUUUUUUUUCAGUUUGGGUAGCUGUCCCUAAUUCAUUUGUUAAAGGAGAAGCAAGAGCAAGAACCUUUAAUCUGUUCUCCUCUUCCCUAAUUUGAAAGUAGCUUGUUAUUUUGAAUAUCACUUUCUCUGAAAUAGCACAUCUCCAUCUCAGAGAAUGGAUUUAAUGUUUGGAUACAGCCAAAAGUCAUUUCAUUACCAAACCAUGGGGUGAAUAUACCAUGUAAAGCAGUUUGGGAUCAGAACUCACAGUCUGAAUUGUAAGUGAUGAGACUGCUGUCUCUCUGCUACAGCUUCUUGGCUGGCUCUGAAGGCUCUUUGAAGGCAGAUCCUAACAAGGGGACUGCUUUGAAGGGCCAUUGUUCAUUUGGAAUGAUAAAGUCUAUGUUGUUCAAAAAACAAAUGCUUGUAGCAGGUAUUUUUUCACUCCAGACUGAGAAUAUUGGUGGGAUAUUGAUAAGGGGUACUGAAUGGUAAUAAACAUGUGCUCUAGCUCUGUGCUAGUCAGCUUAUUUCAGAACUCUAGUUUGAUUCAGUUUCUUGCCUCUGACUCAAAAUGGAGGGAGAGUGAUUUUUACAUAAGAGAACACACCCACAUAUCCUUUUGGCAGCAGCUACCUGCCAGAGAUGUUGAAGAAGAGUAGCCAACCUUUACACAGCAGAUAUUGUGUGCCAGUCAUAGUCCUAAGUAUAAUACCUUACAUGUAUAAACUUCUUAUAAGGUUGGUGCUCUGUACCGAAUUGAAUAGUAUCCCCCAAAAUUCAUGUUGUCCCAGAACCUAUGAAAGUGAUCUUACUUGAGGGAGGGGGGAGGGGGGAGGGAUAGCAUUAGGAGAUAUACCUAAUGCUAAAUGACGAGUUAAUGGGUGUAGCACACCAGCAUGGCACAUGUAUACAUAUGUAACUAACCUGCACAUUGUGCACAUGUACCCUAAAACUUAAAGUAUAAUAAUAAUAAAAUAAAAAAAAAAAAGAAAGUGAUCUUACUUGGAAAUAAGGUCUUUGCACAUAUGAUCAAGUUGAGAUGAAGUUGUACUGGAAAGUCUGUCUAGUGACUGGUGUUGUCAUAAGAAGAGAGGGACACAGAGGGAAGAUGGCCACAUGAAGAUGGAGGCAGAGAUUGCAGUUAUGCUGCUGCAAACUAAGGAAUGGCUCUGGCCCUCCAAGGAUUGCUGAUAACCACCAGAAACUAGAAGAGACAAGGAAGGAUUCUUCCCUAGAGCCUUCAGAGGGAGCAUGGCCCUACUGACACCUGGAUUUCAAACUUGUAGCUUCCUAAACUGCAAGAGAAUAAAUUUCUGUUGUUUUAAGCCA
rnacentral:lncRNA from 1 species